rnacentral:rRNA from 1 species
UGGGCGUAAGCGCGCGCAGGCGGCUCUUUAAGUCUGGUGUUUAAUCCCCACGCUCAACUUCGGGUCGCACUGGAAACUGGGGAGCUUGAGUGCAGAAAAAGAGAGUGGAAUUCCCCGUGUAGCGGUGAAAUGCGUAAAGAUGUGGAGGAACCCCAGUGGCGAAGGCGACUCUCUGGGCUGUAACUGACCCUGAGGCGCGAAAGCGUGGGGAGCAAACAGGAUUAAAUACCCUGGUAGUCCCCCCCGUAAACGAUGAAUGCUAGGUGUUAGGGGUUUCUCCCCCCUUGGUGCCGAAGUUAACACAUUAAACAUCCCCCCCGGGGGGGACGGUCCCAAGACUGAAACUCAAAGGAAUUGACGGGGGCCCGCCCCAGCAGGGGAGUAUGGGGUUUUAUUUUAAACAACCCCAAAAAACCUACCAGGGCUUGGCCUCCCUCUGGGG